GAUGAAGAACGCAGCGAAAUGCGAUAAGUAAUGCGAAUUGCAGAAUUCAGUGAGUCAUCGAAUCUUUGAACGCACAUUGCGCCCUGUGGUAUUCCGCAGGGCAUGCCUGUUCGAGCGUCAUUUCAACCCUCAAGCUCUGCUUGGUGUUGGGCCACGCCCUCGCGGCCGGCCCCAAAGCCAGUGGCGGCGCCGUCCGGCUCUAAGCGUAGUACAUCUCUCGCUCUAGGGCCCGGCGGCUGCCUGCCAGAACCCCAAACUCUUAUGGUUGACCUCGGAUCAGGUAGGGAUACCCGCUGAACUUAAGCAUACAAUAAGCGGAGGA
rnacentral:misc_RNA from 1 species